AUGAAAACAGUGAUUCUUGAACAGAAUGCGAUUAGUAGAGAAGCGCAAUCUCUCAGAGUCACUUUGAGUACGGGGAAGUCCGCAGGAGGGAUGGGAUCCGCCUGCUACUCCACCUCUUCUUCUUCCCCAAUAGACGAAGAAGAAAAUAGGGCCAAGGCGCUAUUGGAGAUGCGCAAAAAAUAUCCAUCGGGAGAUGGCGCUGACGCUGACGCUAACGCUCGCAAGGCGGUUUUGCAGGCAAUUUCACAAAAUAGUUUUUUUUUCGUUGAGCUCAUAACCCGGUUUGGGCCGAUUGACUCUGAGAGCGAUCGAGGGGUCGCGGGCUCACACCUUGCUUUUGCGCAUAGGAUCAAAGAGAUCCUAGAAUUUCAUGGAAAGAGCAGCGGCUCUCUGAAAGACCUCAUUGAUCUGAAAUUGGAUUUGGAAGACGCCUCUAAAAGAGAGGAGAUUCUACUUCCAUAUUUUUCCUCCAAAAAAGAGGCAAAGUCCUAG
rnacentral:rRNA from 1 species